CUCUGUUAAGGUUGGGUGUUACUGACAUUGCUCUGACUCUAGUGAGUGGACUUUCCUCAUCAGACUUGUGAUGCAGACCACCUCAGAUCUCAACAACAUGGAGAAGGACACCUUUGAGGCGUCCAACUGUACUACUGAGGAGUAUGAGUUGGCCUGCAGACAGAGGUUUGCUGAGGACAACAUCAUGUAUGAGUGACUCAUCAUCUACUUGAGGACCAGAAGGCAUGCCUCUGGACUUAAGGGUGUUGAGCAGCGGAAAGUAUUGCGAUGGGCACGCCCCUUCCAGUGGGAUGAACAGGAGUGGACCAUGAUGGGAAGCCUCGGCAGCUCGUGGUGAGGUCUUUUGAGGAGGUUGCUGCUGUGAUCACAGCAGUCCCACUGCAGGGCAUAGCGGCUGGGUUACCACUUGUCAGAAUGUCUCCUCAGUUUACUAUUGGCGAAACAUGACCCAGGACAUGAAACAUUAUAUUGAAACAUGUAGUAAGUGCCAGCACUACACGCCAAUGAAGACAAAGGCCCCAGAGAUGCGUCCCAUAAAGGUGAAGGAGCCGUUGGAACUUAUAGGAGUCGACUUGGUCGGUGGGGCAAGCCUGCAAGGAUCCUGACUGAUCACGGACGUGAGUUUUGUUCCUCGAUCAACGACGAACUCUGCAAGUUCUACGGGAUCCGGAGGAGUAUCACGUCUGCCUACCAUCCGCAGACUAAUGGACUGGCAGAGAGAAUGAACCAGACUCUGGAGACCAGGCUUUCCAAGCUCUGCAACGCGACCAAGACCGACUGGCCAAACUUCCUGGAUGAAGUCGCCUAUAGCAUCCGCACCCAAAAGCAGCGGACCACCGGGUUCACACCUUUCCGGUUGAUGUUUGCUCAUGAGCACCGGCCACUUCACCAGGUAACCACCAGUGUUUGAAUUAAUAUAAGAAAUCAACUCCUAUUGGUUCCAUUAAAAUAUGAAGCUUUCAAUCACAAACCAAAAAAAUAUGAAGAGUUGUUCUUGUGCCUAAUGACCGUAAUUUCAGUUCAAUUGAAAAAAAUAUUUUUAGGAAGAAAUUACAUUUGCUCCUGAGGCUUCUGCACAACCAGAGGGAAGGAGUACCACACCAGAAUUUCUUUUUGUUACAGUUCUUUGAAGAACUUGUUGAACUGCCCUCUUCCGAGGACAUUGCGGAGUGUGUCAAAGAGCAGGACCAGAGGCGUGAAGAACUGCACUCCAAGCGGGAACAGAGAGUUGAAGCAGCCCAAGAAAAGCAGAAGGCUGAGUACAGGAACAGGAAAGCAAGAGGAGUGAAGACCUUCAGCUUCUCUGUAGGGAUGAAGGUUCUUAAAAGAAACCUUCGCAAUGAGACUCGGAAGGGUGGGAUAAUGGAGCAGAAGUGGACUGGUCCAUACAAAGUCCUUGACAUCGACUCCUCAAACCGUGUGGCACUUGAGGCUGUGAGCAAUGGGAAGAAGCUCAAGAGCCGUACUCCAUACAACAACCUGAGGCCAUUCCUCCAGAGCCAGUUGCACUGUGACAG